GUCGUUGUGUGGGCAAGCGGUUUUUUCAUGUCAACGUUUUGAACAGUGUGGAUAGGUCUUUGUCAUUCAACAGCAUCACCUUCAGUCUAUCCUGGUGGUAUUUGAGUCACAUAUACAUGGCCAGCGCUGUUCAUCCCCCGCCGAAAUGCUUUGACCCGGACAGUUGUUGUUCUGCGCGUUGGCUUGUUUUAGUGGAAGACGCAUCAAGCAAGCAAGGGUUGGCUUUAUUCUGCUGGACAGACACUUCAGAAACUUGAAUCAGUGAUGCUAUUUUACCAAGAGACUCAAUUAGCGACUCCAUUACUUUGCGCUUGCGCAAGGACGAAUCAGGCAGAAAUCAAUGGAAAAUUGAAAAAGAAUGAUGUUGAACCCCUGCCCGGAUGAAACCUCUCUCCUGAAUGACACAAUUGAUCAGUCACGCUCACCCAUCCUCAGCUACAGUGCUGCCACAUUCCAUCAACAUGGCGGGAAGUAUUCUCCUCACCAAAGAGCUCAACACUGGAAAUUGACACAAUGUUGCAAUUGCAACAUCAACUACGCAAUUACCUAACUAACUACACUAACUACCUUUUUUUAUGUAGCGGUUGUUAUUGCUGUAGCCUAUACAUUUUCAUUUUUUCACACCUGUCACUAAUCCUGAUGUGUCCCAGAAACAUUGAUUUUGUUGUAAAUUUCUAUUUACUUACAUUUCAUUUGAACAUGUUUGUGUUUUUUGAGCAAAUUGUUGUUAUUAUAAUGUAUCAUUUUAUAUCUGGACGUGGUCCAAUUUGUACAACUCAGAGCAGGUUAUUGUCUCGUUGUCAAAAUGUGGUAUAAGCACAUUCAUAAUUUUUUUUUUUACAAUACCUCAUAUUAAUGGCACUUUACUUAAGGUGUCUGUGCGCACUGUGCAUAUGACAUGGUUUUGACACCUAGGAUUUCAAUCAAUGUAAUAAUGUGGUUGUGACAUAGAGGUUGGUAAAUUAAAUAACACCCUGUUAUAAAAUAUUGUAUGUAGACUUAUGUAGAAUGUAAUAACAUAUGACAAAAGUUGUCAUGCAGACUAUGUAAUAGCAGUCGUUAAUAACGGUUGAUAUUAGAGCAUAUGAUAACAGGACGAACAGUCAUCUAUAAUGCAAAUGUUAACUAGUUUUAUAACAUCAUAUGGG
ensembl:lncRNA